rnacentral:rRNA from 1 species
GAUGAACGCUGGCGGCGUGCCUAAUACAUGCAAGUCGAGCGAACAGACGAGGAGCUUGCUCCUCUGACGUUAGCGGCGGACGGGUGAGUAACACGUGGAUAACCUACCUAUAAGACUGGGAUAACUUCGGGAAACCGGAGCUAAUACCGGAUAAUAUAUUGAACCGCAUGGUUCAAUAGUGAAAGACGGUUUUGCUGUCACUUAUAGAUGGAUCCGCGCCGCAUUAGCUAGUUGGUAAGGUAACGGCUUACCAAGGCAACGAUGCGUAGCCGACCUGAGAGGGUGAUCGGCCACACUGGAACUGAGACACGGUCCAGACUCCUACGGGAGGCAGCAGUAGGGAAUCUUCCGCAAAGGGCGAAAGCCUGACGGAGCAACGCCGCGUGAGUGAUGAAGGUCUUCGGAUCGUAAAACUCUGUUAUUAGGGAAGAACAAAUGUGUAAGUAACUAUGCACGUCUUGACGGUACCUAAUCAGAAGGCCACGGCUAACUAGGUG